CUUGUGUGGCAUCUUUCCGAACUCCCCCGACCAUCUGAGCUUCCAUAAUACCAUCCGAACUUCUCCAAUCAUGAGCUUCUCCAUUCAUCUACCGGACUGCUCCAAAUGCUCUCUGAACUUCACUUUCAGUCGAUUCUCUACAGUGGUCGACUAUUCUCCGAAUCUCUUCCAGACUUCUCUCAGCCACGAUCGACUUUACUCCGAAUUUCCUUCAGACUUCGUCAAUGACCGAGCUUCUUCAGCAGUAGGACUUCUACAGUAACCAAACUCCAUCCAAGUUUUUACGAUGAUCGAUCGCCUUCCGAAUUUCAGUCGAACUUCUACCGCAAGCAGUCUACUCCGAACUUCUACCACAAGCAAUCCACUCCGAACUUCUACUGCAAGUGGACCUCUACUAUAAGCGAAUUCCAUCCGAGCUUCUACUAUAAAUGAAUUCCUUCCAAACUUCUAUUACAGGCAGAUUUCAGUCGAGCUUCUUCGAUAAGCGGUCUCCAUCCAGACUUCUACAAGAAUCGAACUCCGUCUGAACUUUCAUAGCGGAUGGAUUCCGGACGAACUUCUACAACAGACGGGCUCCAGCAGCUGGAUUUUUACAACAGCCGACCGCCUCCAGUAUCUUCCGUACCUCUCCAGCCAUCAACCUUCAACAACGCC
rnacentral:lncRNA from 1 species